AAAAGUUUUAUCUGGUUGAACAUCAAGAAAGGAAACAUGUCUUCUUAGUUUACAUUAUGUUGUAGAACAUCCAGAAAAGAGUUGCUCCGUCACCAGACGCUCCUUUUCUCUAUCUUGACGUUAAUAGGACUAAAAAAAAAAUGCUGCUUGUCGUUUUACCAAGAACCCACCGACUCAAAUCUUAAA